GUUCUAUUGUCGGAUGUCGCUAGUAUUGCCCUUGUUGUUGUUACAUCGUUAAACGAGGCAAAAUGGCCGAAACAAAUUGUAGCUAAUUUAUACUUAUAUUCCUGUGAUUUCAAUUACCAAAUUGAACUUCGUAUCUGAUAUGCGUCGGUCAUUCAACAAGUUGGCUUUGCACUCAUCAGUCACUUUCCAUCCAAUAGACCCAUCAUGCUGUCAAAAGUCGAAAACUAAUGUUUGAAGCCCACAGGUAGUGGAAUACAAAUGUGCCGAGAUAAGGUAUCCUUCCGUGUGAACCAUAAGAUCUUUUCUGAAUCUUGCAAUUUUUGAUGGCAUACCCUGCAACAGCAUGUUUGUUGUCAUUUAUUUGUUUAAUUCUGUUUAGAAGCAAACCCAGCUAAGAGAUAGACAUGAAGCAUGUGAAGUGAAUAACCUGCCGUGUGUAUGCACAUGUACCAGAUCUGCUUGAUGAAAGUCAAAUGCCUUACUAAAUUCAUCACCCAUAUGAUAAAGCCUCAGGAGAUAUAUCUCAACAUUUGGAGUAAUGCUGUUGGUUGCUGUGAAUUCCAUUUUUACGGUUUUUUCAUCAUAACAUUUCAUCAUGACAUGUGCUUCUUAGAAAAGAGCACGCAGUUUCUUUAUGGAAUCGUGUGGUCCUGGC
rnacentral:lncRNA from 1 species